rnacentral:rRNA from 1 species
CAGUCACCACGGGAAUACGAAGGGUGCAAGCGUUAAUCGGAAUUACUGGGCGUAAAGCGUGCGUAGGCGGUUUGUUAAGUCUGCUGUGAAAUCCCCGGGCUCAACCUGGGAAUGGCAGUAGAUACUGGCAAGCUAGAGUGUGUCAGAGGAUGGUGGAAUUCCCGGUGUAGCGGUGAAAUGCGUAGAGAUCGGGAGGAACAUCAGUGGCGAAGGCGGCCAUCUGGGACAACACUGACGCUGAGGCACGAAAGCGUGGGGAGCAAACAGGAUUAGAUACCCCCGUAGUCCCUGUCUCUUAUAC